GUCCGCGUAACUCAGUGGUAGAGUGUGAGAUUGCAAUUGAGCAAUUGAAUGAUUCUGGGAAAGUAAUCUUGAAGUCGCGUGUUCGAACCACGCCGCGGACU
rfam:Gymnopus luxurians FD-317 M1 unplaced genomic scaffold GYMLTscaffold_84, whole genome shotgun sequence.